GAUGAACGCUGGCGGCGUGCCUAAUACAUGCAAGUCGAGCGAACAGACGAGGAGCUUGCUCCUCCGACGUUAGCGGCGGACGGGUGAGUAACACGUGGAUAACCUACCUAUAAGACUGGGAUAACUUCGGGAAACCGGAGCUAAUACCGGAUAAUAUAUUGAACCGCAUGGUUCAAUAGUGAAAGACGGUUUUGCUGUCACUUAUAGAUGGAUCCGCGCCGCAUUAGCUAGUUGGUAAGGUAACGGCUUACCAAGGCAACGAUGCGUAGCCGACCUGAGAGGGUGUUCGGCCACACUGGAACUGAGACACGGUCCAGACUCCUACGGGAGGCAGCAGUAGGGACUCUUCCGCAAUGGGCGAAAGCCUGACGGAGCAACGCCGCGUGAGUGAUGAAGGUCUUCGGAUCGUACAACUCUGUUAUUAGCGAAGAACAAAUGUGUAAGUAACUAUGCACGUCUUGACGGUACCUAAUCAGAAAGCCACGGCUAACUACGUG
rnacentral:rRNA from 1 species